AUUGAACGCUGGCGGCAGGCCUAACACAUGCAAGUCGAGCGGAUGAAGGGAGCUUGCUCCUGGAUUCAGCGGCGGACGGGUGAGUAAUGCCUAGGAAUCUGCCUGGUAGUGGGGGAUAACGUCCGGAAACGGGCGCUAAUACCGCAUACGUCCUGAGGGAGAAAGUGGGGGAUCUUCGGACCUCACGCUAUCAGAUGAGCCUAGGUCGGAUUAGCUAGUUGGUGGGGUAAAGGCCUACCAAGGCGACGAUCCGUAACUGGUCUGAGAGGAUGAUCAGUCACACUGGAACUGAGACACGGUCCAGACUCCUACGGGAGGCAGCAGUGGGGAAUAUUGGACAAUGGGCGAAAGCCUGAUCCAGCCAUGCCGCGUGUGAAGAAGGUCUUCGGAUUGUAAAGUACUUUAAGUUGGGAGGAAGGGCAGUAAGUUAAUACCUUGCUGUUUUGACGUUACCAACAGAAUAAGCACCGGCUAACUUCGUG
rnacentral:rRNA from 1 species